CACUUUGUGCCAGAGUCUCGGCCAGAACAUCGGCAUGAGGUGGAACAACGUACGCAACUCUGCAGGGGACUGCAGGUGCCCAGAUGCUUAGCUGGGCUGCAUCAUGGAAGACACAGGAUACUAUCUACCCAGAAAGUUUUCUUGC